rnacentral:rRNA from 1 species
GAUGAACGCUGGCGGCGUGCCUAACACAUGCAAGUCGAGCGAUCUUCUUCGGAAGAGAGCGGCGGACGGGUGAGUAACGCGUGGGUAACCUGCCCUGUACACACGGAUAACAUACCGAAAGGUAUGCUAAUACGAGAUAAUAUGCUUUUAUCGCAUGGUAGAAGUAUCAAAGCUCCGGCGGUACAGGAUGGACCCGCGUCUGAUUAGCUAGUUGGUAAGGUAACGGCUUACCAAGGCGACGAUCAGUAGCCGACCUGAGAGGGUGAUCGGCCAGAUUGGGACUGAGACACGGUCCAAACUCCUACGGGAGGCAGCAGUGGGGAAUAUUGCACAAUGGGCGAAAGCCUGAUGCAGCAACGCCGCGUGAGCGAUGAAGGCCUUAGGGUCGUAAAGCUCUGUCCUCAAGGAAGAUAAUGACGGUACUUGAGGAGGAAGCCCCGGCUAACUACGUGCCAGCCGCCGCGGUAA